CCUACGUGGGGCUGCAGUGGGGAAUAUUGGACAAUGGGCGAAAGCCUGAUCCAGCCAUGCCGCGUGUGUGAAGAAGGCCUUCGGGUUGUAAAGCACUUUCAGUGGGGAAGAAAGCCUUGGGGCUAAUACCCUCGAGGAAGGACAUCACCCACAGAAGAAGCACCGGCUAACUCCGUGCCAGCAGCCGCGGUAAUACGGAGGGUGCGAGCGUUAAUCGGAAUUACUGGGCGUAAAGCGCGCGUAGGCGGUCUGAUAAGCCGGUUGUGAAAGCCCCGGGCUCAACCUGGGAACGGCAUCCGGAACUGUCAGGCUAGAGUGCAGGAGAGGAAGGUAGAAUUCCCGGUGUAGCGGUGAAAUGCGUAGAGAUCGGGAGGAAUACCAGUGGCGAAGGCGGCCUUCUGGACUGACACUGACGCUGAGGUGCGAAAGCGUGGGUAGCAAACAGGAUUAGAUACCCCAGUAGUC
rnacentral:rRNA from 1 species